CCUACGGGUGGCAGCAGUGGGGAAUUUUGCGCAAUGGGCGAAAGCCUGACGCAGCAACGCCGCGUGGGUGAUGAAGGUCUUCGGAUCGUAAAACCCUGUCGUCAGGGACGAAGGUCGUAUGUCGAAUAGAUGUGCGACUUGACGGUACCUGGAGAGGAAGCCCCGGCUAACUCUGUGCCAGCAGCCGCGGUAAUACAGAGGGGGCAAGCGUUAUUCGGAAUUAUUGGGCGUAAAGGGCGCGUAGAGGGUGGUAAUCCCCGAGCGUAACUUGGGAACUGCAUCUCAGACUGUGUCGCUAGAGUACUGGAGAGGGUGGUAGAAUUCCACGUGUAGCGGUGAAAUGCGUAGAGAUGUGGAGGAAUACCAGUGGCGAAGGCGGCCACCUGGACAGUAACUGACGCUGAGGCGCGAAAGUGUGGGGAGCAAACAGGAUUAGAUACCCUUGUAGUC
rnacentral:rRNA from 1 species